AGCGAACGCUGGCGGCAGGCCUAACACAUGCAAGUCGAACGAAGUCUUCGGACUUAGUGGCGGACGGGUGAGUAGCACGUGGGAACGUGCCUUUAGGUUCGGAAUAACUCAGGGAAACUUGUGCUAAUACCGAAUGUGCCCUUCGGGGGAAAGAUUUAUCGCCUUUAGAGCGGCCCGCGUCUGAUUAGCUAGUUGGUGAGGUAAAGGCUCACCAAGGCGACGAUCAGUAGCUGGUCUGAGAGGACGAUCAGCCACAUUGGGACUGAGACACGGCCCAAACUCCUACGGGAGGCAGCAGUGGGGAAUCUUGCGCAAUGGGCGAAAGCCUGACGCAGCCAUGCCGCGUGAAUGAUGAAGGUCUUAGGACUGUAAAAUUCUUUCACCGGGGACGAUAAUGACGGUACCCGGAGAAGAAGCCCCGGCUAACUUCGUGCCAGCCGCCGCCGUAACAC
rnacentral:rRNA from 1 species